UGGGGAAUCUUGCGCAAUGCGCGAAAGCGUGACGCAGCAACACCGCGUGAGGGAAGACGGCCUUAGGGUUGUAAACCUCUUUCAGAUGGGACGCGGUACCGUCAGAAGAAGCUCCGGCUAACUACGUGCCAGCAGCCGCGGUAAUACGUAGGGAGCGAGCGUUGUCCGGAAUCAUUGGGCGUAAAGAGCACGUAGGUGGAUCAAUCAGUCUGCUGUGAAAGUAAAAGGCUCAACCUUUGAAAGCCGGUGGAUACUGUUGAUCUAGAGUACGGAAGAGGCGAGUGGAAUUCCUGGUGUAGCGGUGGAAUGCGCAGAUAUCAGGAGGAACACCAAUAGCGAAGGCAGCUCGCUGGGACGUAACUGACACUGAGGUGCGAAAGCGUGGGGAGCAAACAGGAUUAGAUACCCGUGUAGU
rnacentral:rRNA from 1 species